UACGUAGGGGGCAAGCGUUGUCCGGAAUUAUUGGGCGUAAAGGGCGCGUAGGCGGAUAAUUAAGUCCGGUGUGAAAGAUCAGGGCUCAACCCUGAGAGUGCAUCGGAAACUGGUUAUCUUGAGGACAGGAGAGGAAAGUGGAAUUCCUAGUGUAGCGGUGAAAUGCGUAGAUAUUAGGAGGAACACCAGUGGCGAAGGCGACUUUCUGGACUGUAACUGACGCUGAGGCGCGAAAGCGUGGGGAGCAAACAGGAUUAGAAA
rnacentral:rRNA from 1 species